rnacentral:lncRNA from 1 species
GAUCCACAUAAAAAGCUGCUCUAUGAGACUUUAAACAGCAGCUGGAACAUUUCUAUUUUCUUUUUUAAAGGUUAUAUUGUUGAUAAGAAAUUCACUUCCGCUCAAUUUUAAUUGUCUAGUCUGGUUUCUAGUCUGUCUGGUAAGACCAGGCUACGCAUACACGGCCUCUGGCAUCUUCUGUGGCCCCUCCUCCUUAGGUGAACGCUGAUCAGUACAGGCUACUUCAGGAGACACAACACGGCUCGCUGCUCGCUUUACUUCAUGGAGAAGAUGAUCUGCAGCAUCCUGCUGCUCAUCAUCCUGACCUCCUGUGUCUCUGGAACAUUUGUAGUGAAUGUGACCCAGACCUCCUAUCAGGCAGAGGAGAACCACGACAUCACACUGGAGUGGACCUUCACAACCAACCCUCACAGUUCCUCCAACUAUCUGUUUGUCUUCUGUGA